AUGUCGGCGCGACCUCCUUGGGACCACCACGUGGGCCAUCAAGCUAGGGUAAGACGCGAACAGAGCCCAGCCGGCCGUUCCGGAGGGUCCCCCUAACCGUUUGUUUGUGCCUCCAGAGCUCAGAGGGGAAGCAAAGGGGUACUUUGCUUGUGCUUCUGAAGCUAACGUUUACACUUGUUGUGACAGAUGCAGCUGUGGAGGCUGGAGAACUUCAUUCAGGAUUUCCUUGACAACAGAGAUGAGAUGCUGACUCCAGAUCAGACAGAGGGACCAUAGCACCACCUGGAGAACUGUUGUCACCUCUUUUUUCCUGGAGGCUCAAUAACACCCUGCACCUCUUCCUCCAGCCUCCACUCUAGACGAAGAGGAGCCUCCGGAUCCCAACCACAUAGAGGAAGUUACUGAAUCACUGCUUCCUCUGUGCUGUUGGAUUUGGAAGCUCUUCACACAAACAACGGUAACUCACUGUUGGUCUCCCUCUGCCAGCAGAAGACCGUCAAGGCCAGCCAUGUCUUUACCCUCAGAGUCGGAACCGAGUCCAUCCACCUGUCUUCAUUGAUUCUGGAGCAGAUGCCAGUCUUAUCGAUGCGGAGCUCGCCAAGAGACUAGGGGUAGCCACUUCACCCAUUUCACCAGCGCUGGAAACCACCUCGUUGGAUGGACGACGACAGGGUGCAGAUUUCCCUAACCUUACCACAUGACCACACGGAGGAGAUUGUCUUCCUCAUCGUCCUGGCCUGCUAUCGGGGGUGAAGUUGUGUAAAGACUUAAACCUUACCCUGACAUAACUGUGAAUUGGCUCUAUAAUGAAAUUGAAUUAAACAUGAUACAAGUUUCAAU